AUUAUAAUAAUAAGGUGAAUAUAAGUAUUGCCCUAACUAAUGUAAAAAAUGCCCCUGGAAAUCAAUUCACUGUAAAACAAAAAAAAUGCUUCACGCACCUUUCUCCAAAAUUCUCCACCAAAUCAUUUUCAUAACACAAAAUCAGCACAGGACUAUUUACUACUGAAUAAGAUCUAAUUUUAUAGUUUUGGGAUUUUCAUUGCACACCAGAUCUUCAGGUAUCAUUUUACCCUAGACCUUAGCCCAGCUUGGUUCCCUUUUGAUUUCAAAUACAGCUCAUGAACUUCAGUCUAUAACCCUGAGGCCAGCUUUUGCUCCAGGACACACUCUUCCACUUUCCCAAAUGCACAAGCGCUUCUGUUUAUUCCUGGCUGCUGAGAUAUUCAACACCACAUGAAGUAGAUUAAUAUCUCCUUUGAGACGCUCCAUACUUGUCUUUGCUGCUGGAGGUUAGCGUGUUAAAUAUGAAAGAGAAGUAGGCAUGUUUGAAUGAUUGAUGCAUUGCCUGUCAUUAGUGUUUAUUGAAGUGACAGCUUGCGCUGGAAUAUAUUGCAACUGGCAUGUAUCUGCAGAUAAUGUAAUCUUACCCAUUGCAGUUAAGAGCUUUAUUUUCUCUUCUAUAAGGUCAACAGAGGAGGAGACAAAAAUAAAGACGGGUCAAGUUCACAUGAGAGGAUUUAUAUGGAUGAUCAUAUAUACAGUUAUUGGAAAACUGAUAUGUGCUAAGAUGGGUUUGUCAGCUGUAACACUAAUCAGAGAGUGAGUUUCAAAACACUUUGAAACUGUAAGAGACAGUUCAGAAAGUACUUCUUCAGCCAAGAAACACAUUGUAUCAACCCAGAUGAGAAACAGCCACUGCUGUACUUGACAGCUCUCCAGACGGAGAAUAACAUUGCCAAGUUUACACAAUAGAUUGAAAGUUCCCAAGCUGCAGCAAAAAUCGCUACAACACCCACCAUGAUGUAACUUCCAUUUCCCAGCUAGCAACAGGAAUACCCCUGGAGGACUUCAAAGCGAAUAAUAAUGCCGCUUUGGAAAAAGCACCUGUUGUGUUCUGGACAUUUGGCUUUCAAUCAAUGUACUUUCCCAAUUGGAAGCCAGUCUUUUCUAUAGCACCUUCUAGGGAUGAUGGGUGGAACUCCCAAAUUAACAAGAAUUGGCAACAAAUAUCCAACGGUGAUGUGCAGAGACAGAGACCUGCUGCCUUCAUGUGCUAUUGGAAUAAUAAUGCAUUUGAUUUUCCUUGUUGGAAAUUAUACAUGAACAGCCAUUCAAAAUAAUUUUGAUAUUUGAGUUUAGAUAUUUGAGUUGAUCAAGCCAUAAACUUUAAACAUUGCAAAGAUCUGAUUACAGUAGUGACCGUAUUAUUUGUUUUUCACAGUCUGUAUAUUCACGCAUGUAGAUAUGAAUGUGAUACAUAUUAAAUGUAUUUUACACAUCUUCGUCCUAUUAUAUUACAAGGAAUGUUGUAGUUGUAUAACUCUCUAGACCACUAAUUUGUUUUUUUUUCUUUUUCCCUUAUCUGUUUUAUAUGAGGUAAUCCUGUGUUAUUUAAAGUCUGAGCUAUUUGCGUUUUUUUUUUUUUUUUUUUU